rnacentral:rRNA from 1 species
UACGGGAGGCAGCAGUGGGGAAUAUUGCACAAUGGGCGAAAGCCUGAUGCAGCUAUGCCGCGUGUAUGAAGAAGGCCUUAGGGUUGUAAAGUACUUUCAUCGGGGAGGAAAAACAAAACUAAUAAUUUUAUUUCUUGACGUUACCCGAAAAAGAAGCACCGGCUAACUCCGUGCCAGCAGCCGCGGUAAUACGGAGGGUGCUAGCGUUAAUCAGAAUUACUGGGCGUAAAGAGCACGUAGGUGGUUUUUUUAAGUCAGAUGUGAAAUCCCUGGGCUUAACCUAGGAACUGCAUUUUGAAACUGAAAUACUAGAGUAUCGUAGAGGGAGGUAGAAUUCUAGGUGUAGCGGUGAAAUGCGUAGAUAUCUGGAGGAAGUACCUGUGGCGAAGACGGCCGUCCUAAACCGAAUACUGACACUGAGGUGCGAAAGACGUGGGGAGGCAAACAGGAGUUAGAUA